GGGGUUGUGGCUCAGUGGUAGAGCACUUGCAUAGCACGCAUGAGGCCCUGGGUUCAAUCUUCAGCGCCACA
rnacentral:tRNA from 1 species